CAGACAGGAGCAGAUGGUGUGGCCGUGGGGCCUGCAAUGGGCCUCACUGAGGCCUGAGCUGAGAGAAGGAAACAUCCUGGAGAAGCUGAGACUUCAAGGAAGAGUCGCUUUCCUGGUGAACCCUUGAGGGAGGACCUUCCAGGCAGAGGUGGGGAAACCAGCUUUGCCUUUCUCCUAGCUCUACUGAGCUCCCGUCUUACUUCUACUCUACACCAGGACAGAGUCCACCUGACACUUCUGAAUGACGGGACGUCCUUCAUCUUCUGCUGGAGAUUUAGAGACAGACUUCCAACAAGGAAAGCCAGGCCUCUGGCCAAGGACACCCCUGAACACAGAGCAGAGAGGAGCCGAAACAGGACACUGAAGACAUCCAGGCCGCCCAGACCCACAGACUGCGCCCCGACCCUACCUCCCCUGCAGUUAGUGCAGGAGGAUGAGACAGAGCAAGGUCACCCAUCAGGAUGCUGUCUCUCUAGCGCCCUCUGCCGGGUUCUCAUGAGAAGACCCCCUUGACAGGAGGAGACAAGGAGUCGUUGCAAGGAGCCAGACAGACAGGUGGUGAAGGACAGCGCUGGACAGGUGUGAGACUGCUCUAUGAGGCCAUUCAUCUCAUAAAUAGUUGCUGAGUACCAAAGACGUGCCGGGCGCUAUUCCAGUGCCAGGGAUAUGAACGGAUGAGACAAGGCCUUCCGGUGGAGCAAGCAUCCUGGGUGAUCGCAGAGAGAGAAUAAACAAAUACAUAGCGUCGGCAGUAAAAAGCGCUACACGUAGAGAAACAAAACAGAAUAAGAGAUAGGAAGUGAUGCAAAUGGGACUCAAAAUAGGGCACUCAGGGAAGGCCUUAUGAGGAAGUGACCUUUGGGCGAAGAUCUAAAUAAAGCGAGGGAGUGAAGUGUGCAGAUCUCGGAAGGAAGAAUUUUCGGGCAGAGGGGAAGCGAAGGCCAAGGCCCUGAGACGGGAAGAUCCAAGAGAGGCUUUCAAAGCUUACAGUGGAGGAGAAAUGGCUUGUUUGAGACGAGGAAAGAGGCGGAACAAGGGAAGUAACUUGCCUGAGGUCACAUGGCUUGUCAGUGUCACAGGGCAAGAUUCCAUUCCAGGACUCCCGGAUUCCAGCAUCUCUGCUCCUAACCAGCCAAUCCUUGCUGUCUUCUCCUGCUGGCACCGACUCCGCUAAGAAACAGAAGGUUCAAGAUGGCGACACAGGAAGAUCCUGAACUCGCCUCCCCCACAGACACACUGAAUCUACAGCUGCAUAUGGAGCAAUUUCCUCUCAAAAAAACCCUAAAAUCUAGUGGAAAGACUCCUUCGUAUUAGGGAAAUGAGAAAACAAAAAACAAAAAAACAUUGAUGCGAGUAGGAAAGGCUGAGAUAGUCUCACCAUAACCCGCCCUCCCCCCCAGCCACACACAGUGACCCAUAGCCCGAGUGAACUUAAAACCCAGAGCUUCUCCCUGAGGAGCGAAAGGUUUGUACUCCACAUCGGGCACCCCAGCUUUUAAGACCUGCACCUGAGAGAUGAGCCCCCAACACAUCCAGCUUUGAAAAGCAACAGGGCUUGGGCCCAGAAGACCCACAGGGCUGGAGAAACAUCGCUCAAAGGACUCGCUCACCCCGGGGGCCCAGUGCAGAAGCAGCCCUUGGAAAGUGCCCGACUUUCCGUGCUGGAGGCUCAUUCCUAGUUUUCAGGCCUCGGUCUCCAGGGCCCGGAGCUGGUGAGCGCCAUCUUCACGCUCUCCCUAGGCUCCAACUGUGGCCAGAGGGCAGCUGUGCAUGAAGAAACCGCACAGCGGCUUCUGACGUGAGCAAGGUGGCCAGGGGAGAAGAUUGCUAUUCUGCUAAUCUGAGGGCACACCCAGG
rnacentral:lncRNA from 1 species